UACAGAGGUCCCAAGCGUUGUUCGGAUUCACUGGGCGUAAAGGGCGCGUAGGCGGGCUCUCAAGUCCGGGGUGAAAUCUUUCGGCUCAACCGGAAAAUAGCCUUGGAUACUGGGAGUCUCGAGGGAGGUAGGGGCGGGUGGAACUUCCGGUGGAGCGGUGAAAUGCGUUGAUAUCGGAAGGAACGCCGGUGGCGAAAGCGACCCGCUGGACCUCUUCUGACGCUGAGGCGCGAAAGCCAGGGGAGCAAACGGG
rnacentral:rRNA from 1 species